GUGUCAGCCGCCGCGGUAAGACGUAGGGGGCCAGCGUUGUUCGGAAUUACUGGGUGUAAAGGGUUCGUAGGCGGUGUGGCAAGUUGGGAGUGAAAUCUCUGGGCUCAACCCAGAGGCUGCUUCCAAAACUGCUGUGCUUGAGUGUGGGAGAGGCGCGUGGAAUUGCAGGUGUAGCGGUGAAAUGCGUAGAUAUCUGCAGGAACACCCGUGGCGAAAGCGGCGCGCUGGACCACAACUGACGCUGAGGAACGAAAGCUAGGGGAGCAAACAGGAUUAGAUACCCUGGUAGUCCUAGCCCUAAACGAUCAGGACUUGGGGUGCCGCACGUUCGUGCGUCGUCCCGGAGCUAACGCGUUAAGUCCUGCACCUGGGGAGUACGGUCGCAAGACUGAA
rnacentral:rRNA from 1 species